ACGUAGGGUGCAAGCGUUGUCCGGAAUUACUGGGUGUAAAGGGAGCGCAGGCGGACCGGCAAGUUGGGAGUGAAAUCCAUGGGCUCAACCCGUGAAUUGCUUUCAAAACUGCUGGCCUUGAGUAGUGCAGAGGUAGGUGGAAUUCCCGGUGUAGCGGUGGAAUGCGUAGAUAUCGGGAGGAACACCAGUGGCGAAGGCGACCUACUGGGCACCAACUGACGCUGAGGCUCGAAAGCAUGGGUAGCAAACAG
rnacentral:rRNA from 1 species